CGUGGUCGUUAUCCAUACUCCGCUGAAUAACUAGAUCAACAACAACAACAACAUCGAGGCCUCUCAUCUGUUUAUUACACACCAACUAUCUACCCAUGUUCUACCCAACAUAUUAGUAGAUAAAAAUAUACAUUUGUAUACAUAGUUUAAAGAAAACCUGUAUAGCAUGCUUUAAUCAACACAUAUAUCACAUAACAGAUGAGGCACACACACACAUAACACAUAUCUCAUAAAGAAAUAAGCAGAUCUAUAAGAUAGAAGAGAGUGAAUACUCAUUCACACAUAACACAACCAAAUAUAUACACAUAGCACGUAUUUUUAUAUAAAAUACUUCGUAUUAUUGUAUUAGAAGAAAUAACUACACACUCACUUGAUCAGAAGAUGAUCGGACAGCACUACGGCUUAUAGAAGUAGUAAUCCACAGCAGAUCUGGAAGAUCUCCUCGAAAAUCGAACUUCUCGCGGGCAGAGCUUCGACUCGGGAACCGCACUUUUCGGGAUCUUCGGGAUCUCGGGACUUGCCUCGGGGCUAGAGUAUGAUACCGGGACUUCGGGGUAGCUUCGGGGGUUUUUGCACAGAGCUUCGACACGAAAACGAGAGGGAAUUGGCAAAAAUACCCGGAACCCUCGCAUCCUAUUUAUAGGAGGCUGGAGCCUCGGAGUACGCGGGGCGUACUGCGUUACGCGGGGCGUACUGCCCAAAACGUCAUUGCUUACGUAUCCGAAGUGCUCGAGUGCGAGUGUCGACAUCCCUCGGAGUACGCGGGGCGUACUCGAGUACGCGGGGCGUACCUCGGAUCAGAUCGGUGACUCCUUCGGAUAAUGCUUCCGAAUUUUGAUUUAAAUAUAAAUACAAAAUGAUUAAUAAACUUCGGAAAUUCAUAACUUCUUCAUACGAACUCCGUUUUCGACGUUCUUUAUAUCCACGGAAAGGUGAGACCACGCUCUACGACUUUCGUUUAGACUCCGUCGGCUAAUUUUGACUUUAUUUUUAUUAAUUAUUUUUAAUAGGCCGCGACAGAAACUUUCGUUAUAAAUUCAUAACUUCUUCGUUUGACGUCCGUUCUCGCCUAACUUUUUAUCGCUUCGAUACCAACAAUGAGAUCUUCGAUUCUCAUUUAGAUUGCUUCGGCUAACAACCGCUCGAUCUCAAAUCGAGUAAAACAGGCUGUAUACCGCUAAGCCGGAACUUCGAUAAAUCAUAACUUCCUCAUACGAAGUCAGAUUUGGGCGUUCUAUAUAUAUUCGGAAACCUCGUUUCAACUACUACAACAUUAACCAAAGAUAUUAAGUUUAUUUUACACUUAAAUUUUGACGCUUAUUUUUAUUCUUAAUUAAUCAAACCACAUAAUUAAGCAAUUAAGCACAAAACACAUAAUACUCAAAUAAUACAAUCUUAUUAUUUCAAAACGGGUUACAAAGGUUAACCUAGACUAUUACAUUGCUAAAAAUGGCAAGCCCGGAAACACAGGCGUUACAAUUCUCUCCACCUUAGAAUGAUUCCGUCCCCGGAAUCACACAUCAACAAACAAAUGCGGAUAGCGACUCAACAUGUCACUCUCCGUCUCCCAGGUGAGAUUCGGCCCAUUCGUGUGUUUCCAUCGGACAAGCACUAACCCAACCAUUUUGCGUCGCAACUUCUUAGUCUUUCGGUCAACAAUUGCCUCUGGUUCUUCAAUCAACCUUUUGUUCUCAUCAAUUCUCAAUUCAGAAAUUGGAAUUAUAUCGGGAACUUCUCCCGUGAACUUCCUCAAAUAACACACAUGAAAAGUGUUGUGAAUUCCAUUCAGUUCUUCGGGUAAUUCGAGCUUGUAAGCUUGGUUCCCAAUCCUCUGAAGAACUUUAAACGGUCCAAUAAACCUUGGACUCAACUUUCCCCUUUUACCAAAUCUUAUAAGUCCCUUCCACGGCGAGACUUUAAGCAAAACCGAAUCCCCAACCUCAAAAGUUAUCGGUCUCCGCUUCUUGUCAGCAUAGCUCUUUUGACGAUCCUGAGCUGCUAACAUUCUUUCCCUAAUUAUUUUCAACUUUUCAGCAGUUUGAUGAACCAACUCCGGUCCCAUAAACUGCUUUUCCCCAGCCUCAAGCCAACAAGACGGCGUACGACACUUCUGUCCAUACAAAGCUUGGUAAGGUGCCAUCUUAAUGCUCGAGUGGAAACUAUUAUUAUAGGAAAAUUCUACCAACGGUAAAUGUUCAUCCCAAUUACCUAGGAAUUCCAGAGUACAUGCUCUCAGCAUAUCUUCAAGUGUUUGUAUCGUUCGUUCGCUCUGACCAUCAGUCUGCGGAUGGUAAGCUGUACUUAAACACAACUUGGUACCCAAUUCCUCUUGUAGACUUUUCCAAAACCUCGAUGUGAAACGGCUAUCACGAUCCGACACAAUCGUUAACGGAACACCGUGAAGCCUCACAAUUUCCUUCACGUAAGAAUUCGCAAGCUUCUCCAUAGACCAUUUCUCCCUGGCCGCUAUGAAAUGCGCACUCUUAGUGAAUCGAUCAACGACCACCCAAAUCAUGUCGUGACCAUUCUUUGUUCUGGGCAGUUUAGUGACAAAAUCCAUAGCAAUGUCUUCCCACUUACCCAUAGGCACAGGCAAAGGUUCUAAACUCCCGUACGGUUUCUGAUGUUGUGUCUUGACUCUCGCACAAGUCACACACUCGGCCACAUACUUUGCAACAUCAAGCUUCAUCGUCGGCCACCAGUAGUAGGGUUUCAGGUCCCUAUACAUUUUAGUGCUACCCGGAUGAAUCGAGUACAUGGUCUUGUGAGCUUCUUCCAUCAGAAGAUCUCUGACUCCUCCUGUCUUAGGUAUCCAAAUCCGAUCUUGGAACACCUUCAGUCCAUGACUGUUUACACCGAACACCAACGUUUUGCCCAAACGUUCCUCCUUUCUGUCAUUCUUCUCAGAAGCUUCGCUCUGAGCUUUCUUUAUACUUUCCAAAAUAGUUGAGACAACUUCAAUUCUCAACGCUCUUGGCCUUUUCCUUUCGGGAUUGACUUUCCGACUGAGAGCAUCAGCAACAACAUUAGCUUUACCGGGGUGGUAAAGUAUCUCGCAGUCAUAGUCUUUAAGUAAUUCUAGCCAGCGUCGUUGCCUCAUAUUCAAUUCUUUCUGAUUAAAGAGGUAUUGGAGACUCUUAUGAUCAGUGAAAAGUUUGCACUUCGUGCCAUAGAGGUAAUGCCUCCAUAUUUUCAGAGCGAAAACUACCGCUGCCAACUCCAAAUCAUGAGUCGGGUAAUUCUUUUCAUGCUCUUUCAGCUGUCGAGACGCAUAUGCUAUCACCUUUUCUCUUUGGGUCAAAACACAACCCAAUCCAACACCAGACGCAUCGCUAUAGACAGCGAAGUCUUCAACUCCAUCGGGUAGAGAAAGUAUCGGUGCCUCGCAUAGCUUCUCCUUUAGCUUCUCAAAUGCUUCCUUAUGCUUCUCACCCCAAGCAUAAGUAGCUCCUUUGUGGGUCAAAGCUGACAAUGGACUAGCGAUCGAAGAAAAGCCUUGGAUAAACCUUCGGUAAUAUCCGGCUAAUCCUAAAAAGCUUCGAAUCUCCGUGGGACUUUUCGGUUGUUCCCACUUCGUCACAGCUUCGAUCUUCGCUGGAUCAACCAUUAUCCCUUCUUGGUUGACCACGUGACCCAAGAAUUGGACUUCACGAAUCCAAAAAUCACAUUUGGAGAACUUAGCAUACAGCUUCUCCUUCUUCAAAACUUCUAACACUUCUCGCAAGUGUCUGCCAUGCUCCUCCUGGCUUUUCGAGUAAAUCAGAAUGUCGUCUAUGAACACUAUCACGGAUUUAUCAAGGAACGGGUUACAAACCCUAUUCAUCAAAUCCAUGAACGCUGCUGGAGCAUUGGUUAGUCCAAACGACAUAACCAAGAACUCGUAGUGUCCAUAUCUAGUUCUGAAUGCAGUCUUCUCGAUAUCUUGCUCUCUUACUUUUAGCUGAUGAUAUCCUGACCUAAGAUCGAUCUUCGAGAAAUAGCUCGAACCUUGCAAUUGAUCAAACAGGUCAUCAAUCCUCGGCAACGGAUAUCUAUUCUUUAUUGUUGCCUUGUUCAGCUCUCUGUAAUCGAUGCACAUUCUCAUACUUCCAUCUUUCUUCUUUACAAAUAACACCGGAGCUCCCCAGGGCGAUGAACUAGGUCUAAUGAAACCGUUGUCCAAUAACUCCUGAAGUUGCAUCAUUAGCUCCUUCAUCUCCGUCGGUGCUAAUCGAUAAGGUGCUUUCGCAAUUGGCGUUGUUCCUGGCAACAAGUCAAUACGGAAUUCCACUUGUCGAUCAGGCGGUAAUCCAGGAAGAUCUUCGGGAAAUACUUCCGGAUAAUCACACACCACUGGAAUAUUCUGCAUCACCUUCUUUUCCUUCUUAGCAUCAAUCACGAAUGCUAAAUACGAUGUACACCCCUUGGUCAAACAUUUUCUGGCUUUCAUCAAUGAAAUGAUUCCAGAAUUCACUCUGCGUUUAUCUCCAUACACCAUAAACGAAUCUUUCCCAGGCGGGUUUACUUUGACUAUUUUCUUCUUGCAUAAAAUUUCGGCGUCGUUGGCGCUAAGCCAAUCCAUUCCCAAUACGAUGUCGAAACCAUUAAGUUCGAUAGGCAAUAAUUCCUCGUGGAACUUAUUCCCAUUCAGAUCAAUUAAGAUGUUUUUCAUGCGAUAGCUAACAGGUACAAACUUGCCACUAGCAACUUCGACUAAUAAAGCAUUAUCUAGUCUAACAACAGGCAAAGCUAGCUUUCUACCAAAUUCAUGCGAUAUAAAGGAGUAGUUGGCUCCAGAAUCAAAUAAAAUUUGGGCAGGCAAUUCGUUAACGAGAAAGGUACCUGAAGCGACAUCAGCUUCAUCUUUAGCAGCUUCCAGUGUCAUCUGGAAUGCUCUCGCCUUUGGCUUUGGCGGAAUGUUGGGUCUAGCUGCCUCCUUCUUCUUCGGGCAGUCCCUCGACAUAUGACCCUCCUCACCACAACCAUAGCAAACUUUCUUUGUGAGGGUACACUCAUUGGCAUAGUGCCCUGGCUUUCCACACUUGUAGCAUGUGUUCGCCACCUCACAUCUUCCAUGAUGCUUCUUCUUACAUUUGUCGCACCAUUUCGCUUCACCUCCACCUCCCCUCGAACCAGACUUCGAGAACUUGUUUUUCUUGUUGGACCCUGAAGUUCCAUCGAACUUCCUCUUUUCUCCAACAUCUAUUCUUUCCAGACCCUUUUCCUUCUGCUGGGCCUCCACAUUCUUAGCUGCACGAACAGCCGUUUUCAGAGUGGUUGCCAUUUUGACUGUCGGACCAAAGUCAGCAGGCAGUCCGUUAGCAAACCUCUCAAUCUUGGAGAGUUCCGUUGGCACUAGGUACGGAAACAACUUCAUCUUCUCAGUAAAUGCAGUAGCAUAGUCAUCUAUGCUCAUCUUCCCCUUCUUUAAGUUUUGAAACUCAUUGUUCAGAUCAAUCAGAUCUAUCUCCGAACAAUACUGCACCCUUAACUGUUCCAAGAACUCCUCCCAUGACAUUUUCAGGGCUUCUCCUCGUGGCAUAGUAUCUGCCAACAACUUCCACCAACUCAAGACUCCAGUCUUCAGUUGUCUAACCGCAAAGACGGUCUUCUGUUUGUUGCUACAGUCGCAACUUUCAAAUACCAUCUCCAUUUCGGAGAUCCAAUCCAUUAUCUCAACAGGCUUUGGGCUCCCAGAAAGACUUGGCGGUUUGGCGCCCAAGAAAUUCUUGUACAUACGCCCAUCCUUGUUGUUUCUCCUUUCUGGAUCGUUCCUUCGUUCCUCUUGAGUCCCAACUUGACUCACCAUGCGACUAUUGUUCCCUUCCUCCGAUUGCUCGGGAAUCAAUUCAGGUUCCUCAAUAGGUAUGACAGGUUCAUCCCUAUUAUUAUGCAACAUUUGUCGCAUCUCCUCCCUUUGUUCGGCUAGCAUAGCCCGAAUCAUGGCUUGCACCGCAGCCAUUGUUAUUGGUUCUGGUGCUGCUGCUACAACAGGUAUUUGCUCAAUCACUGGCGGUUGAUUCCUGUUUUCAUCUGCGUUUCCAACGCCACUCCUUGUUCUCACCAUUUUUGAUCUACACACCGAAUAAUUUCACCUUAUUACUCCAAACGAUUACAUGCUAGUUCUAAUAUCGUAUACAUACGCUUAGAAUCCUAAACACAUAAACCUUCAGAUCCGGUUGGCAACAAACCGUAGAUCCGAACAAAUAAUAUCAUAUAUGGCAACAUAUAACAUUUAGCACAUAAAAGCAUUUUAGGCAACUUUCCUAAAAUAAACUAGUGCUCGUGUCUAAAAUCCAACAGACACACAUCUCAAAAUUCCACUUAGCAUUCUAAGUUUAAGUCUAGAAAUCCUACAAAUUCCUAGUUCGCUUAAACUAAUGCUCUGAUACCAACUGUGACAUCCCCAAAAUCUCGGCCAGAAAAGACCGAUUUUCAUUUAUGCUUUUAAAUAUUUUCAGAGUAAAUCCUUUUGAUUUGAAAGAGUUGCGGAAUUUGUUCCCAAAACAAAACAUGAUAAAAUAAUAUUUAUCAAAGCAUUUCAUCAAGAGAUGCAUUUCAUUAUAUAAUCAAAACUCGGGAUGUCAUGUUCCGAUACAGACCAUAAAGCAUAAACGAUAAACAUUACAAGUCAUUCAACAAAUAUAUACAUAUACAGACUUGUAAACAAAACAACAAGAUGAUCCAUCCAUCUUACGCCCUUGUGCCACUUCCUGUAAUACAAAUAAAACUGAGUGGGUCAGGCUUGGGAGCCUGGUGAGCAUAUAGGGUUUUCAACCCACAAUAAAUAAGUUAUAUUUAAUUUCACCAACCAAUCACUAUCCCGAUUACCCAUUCCCGUUAUCCUCACUUUACGUCCCUAAAACAACUAUCUCAAGGGACCUAAUCUAGGAUUUUCAUCGGGACGGACAUCACUGCGAAGGGGUUUCCUCAACAAUAGAUAUCCUAAAGGCAACCAUGAGGGGGAUAGAGUACACCGGUGAACACAUCGUUCACAACACCUACAGGUUAUGAACCUGCUAGCGUUCCACUGGACUGUCUAGAAAGAGUCCGUGGUCGUUAUCCAUACUCCGCUGAAUAACUAGAUCAACAACAACAACAACAACGAGGCCUCUCAUCUGUUUAUUACACACCAACUGUCUACCCAUGUUCUACCCAACAUAUUAGUAGAUAAAAAUAUACAUUUGUAUACAUAGUUUAAAGAAAACCUGUAUAGCAUGCUUUAAUCAACACAUAUAUCACAUAACAGAUGAGGCACACACACACAUAACACAUAUCUCAUAAAGAAAUAAGCAGAUCUAUAAGAUAGAAGAGAGUGAAUACUCAUUCACACAUAACACAACCAAAUAUAUACACAUAGCACGUAUUUUUAUAUAAAAUACUUCGUAUUAUUGUAUUAGAAGAAAUAACUACACACUCACUUGAUCAGAAGACGAUCCGACAGCACUACGGCUUAUAGAAGUAGUAAUCCACAGCAGAUCUGGAAGAUCUCCUCGAAAAUCGAACUUCUCGCGGGCAGAGCUUCGACUCGGGAACCGCGCUUCUCGGGAUCUUCGGGGUCUCGGGACUUGCCUCGGGGCUAGAGUAUGAUACCGGGACUUCGGGGUAGCUUCGGCACGAAAAACGAUGCAAAAGACUAGAGAGAAGAGAAGAAAAUGAACAAGAAAUGAGGCUGUCUUCGGAUCCUUUAUAUAGAGGCUGGAACCUCGGAGUACGCGGGGCGUACAGGCGUACGCAGCGCGUACAGCGUCCGAAAUCGUCAUUGCAUGCGUCAUCCGAAGUGUCGACACUAUCGGAGUACGCUGGGCGUUCUCGCGUACGCGGGGCGUACGUCGGAU
rnacentral:lncRNA from 1 species